AAAUGAAUAGACGGGGGCCCGCACAAGCAGCGGAGCAUGUGGUUUAAUUCGAAGCAACGCGAAGAACCUUACCAAGGCUUGACAUCCCUCUGAAGUAUUUAGAGAUAAGUACGGACUCUUCGGAGUACAGAGGAGACAGGUGGUGCAUGGUUGUCGUCAGCUCGUGUCGUGAGAUGUUGGGUUAAGUCCCGCAACGAGCGCAACCCUUAUCUUUAGUUGCCAGCACUUAGGGUGGGCACUCUAGAGAGACUGCCGGGGAUAACUCGGAGGAAGGUGGGGAUGACGUCAAAUCAUCAUGCCCCUUAUGUCUUGGGCUACACACGUGCUACAAUGGUCUGAAACAGAGGGAAGCGAAGGCGCAAGCUGGAGCAAAUCCCACAAACCAGGCCACAGUUCGGAUUGUGGGCUGCAACCCGCCCACAUGAAGCCGGAGUUGCUAGUAAUCGCGAAUCAGCAUGUCGCGGUGAAUGCGUUCCCGGGCCUUGUACACACCGCCCGU
rnacentral:rRNA from 1 species